AAAACGACUCUCGGCAACGGAUAUCUCGGCUCUCGCAUCGAUGAAGAACGCAGCGAAAUGCGAUACUUGGUGUGAAUUGCAGAAUCCCGCGAACCAUCGAGUCUUUGAACGCAAGUUGCGCCCAAAACCUUCGGGUCGAGGGCACGUCUGCCUGGGUGUCACGC
rnacentral:rRNA from 1 species